ACCUGAUGGUGUGGGCAUUUACAAAGUAGUUCUCGGAAAUGCUCCCAAGUCUCAAAGAAAAGUUCCCUAUCCGUUUGUGUGAAACUUGUGAUUUCCCUUCGCAGUU